rnacentral:rRNA from 1 species
AUUGAACGCUGGCGGAAUGCUUUACACAUGCAAGUCGAACGGCAGCACGGACUUCGGUCUGGUGGCGAGUGGCGAACGGGUGAGUAAUGUAUCGGGACGUGCCCAGUCGUGGGGGAUAACGUAGUGAAAAUUACGCUAAUACCGCAUACGAUCUAUGGAUGAAAGCGGGGGAUCGCAAGACCUCGCGCGAUUGGAGCGGCCGAUAUCAGAUUAGGUAGUUGGUGGGGUAAAGGCCCACCAAGCCAACGAUCUGUAGCUGGUCUGAGAGGACGACCAGCCACACUGGAACUGAGACACGGUCCAGACUCCUACGGGAGGCAGCAGUGGGGAAUUUUGGACAAUGGGCGAAAGCCUGAUCCAGCCAUUCCGCGUGCAGGACGAAGGCCCUCGGGUUGUAAACUGCUUUUGUACAGAACGAAAAGGUUUCUACUAACACUAGGAGCUCAUGACGGUACUGUAAGAAUAAGCACCGGCUAACUACGUGCCAGCCGCCGCCGUAA